rnacentral:rRNA from 1 species
GACGAACGCUGGCGGCGUGCUUAACACAUGCAAGUCGAACGGAAAGGCCCUGCUUUUGUGGGGUGCUCGAGUGGCGAACGGGUGAGUAACACGUGAGUAACCUGCCCUUGACUUUGGGAUAACUUCAGGAAACUGGGGCUAAUACCGGAUAGGAGCUCCUGCUGCAUGGUGGGGGUUGGAAAGUUUCGGCGGUUGGGGAUGGACUCGCGGCUUAUCAGCUUGUUGGUGGGGUAGUGGCUUACCAAGGCUUUGACGGGUAGCCGGCCUGAGAGGGUGACCGGCCACAUUGGGACUGAGAUACGGCCCAGACUCCUACGGGAGGCAGCAGUGGGGAAUAUUGCACAAUGGGCGGAAGCCUGAUGCAGCAACGCCGCGUGCGGGAUGAAGGCCUUCGGGUUGUAAACCGCUUUCGCCUGUGACGAAGCGUGAGUGUCGGUAAUGGGUAAAGAAGCACCGGCUAACUACGUG